UCAAGAAACUUCCACAAUGGGCGAAAGCCUGAUGGAGCGACGUCGCGUGAUGGACGAAGUGCUUCGGCACGUAAACAUCUUUUAUGUGGGAUGAAAUUAUUGACAGUACCACAUGAAUAAGGGGCUCCUAACUCUGUGCCAGCAGGAGCGGUAAUACCGAGGCCCCAAGCGUUAUCCGGAAUCACUGGGCGUAAAGGGUGUCGAGGCGGUUGUAUUAGUCGUUCGUAAAAUCUACGAGCUUAACUUGUAGGCGGCGAACGAAACGGUACGACUUGAGGUUUGGAGAGGUGCGUGGAACUCACGGUGUAGGGGUGAAAUCCGUUGAUAUCGUGGGGAACACCAAAGGCGAAGGCAGCGCACUGGCCAAAAUCUGACGCUCACACACGAAAGCUAGGGUAGCGAACAGGAUUAGAUACCCAUGUAGUCCCUGAGCGGGCUGGCAAGGCGCAU
rnacentral:rRNA from 1 species